rnacentral:rRNA from 1 species
UACAGAGGGGGCAAGCGUUGUUCGGAAUUACUGGGCGUAAAGGGCGCGUAGGCGGCCUUCUAAGUCGAACGUGAAAUCCCCGAGCUCAACCCGGGAACUGCGUCCGAUACUGGAAGGCUUGAAUCCGGGAGAGGGAUGCGGAAUUCCAGGUGUAGCGGUGAAAUGCGUAGAUAUCUGGAGGAACACCGGUGGCGAAGGCGGCAUCCUGGACCGGCAUUGACGCUGAGGCGCGAAAGCCAGGGGAGCAAACGGG